UACGUAGGGUCCAAGCGUUGUCCGGAUUUAUUGGGCGUAAAGAGCUCGUAGGCGGUUUCGUAAGUCGGAUGUGAAAACUCAGGGCUCAACCCGGAGACGCCAUCCGAUACUGCGAUGACUUGAGUCUGGUAGGGGAACACGGAAUUCCUGGUGUAGCGGUGAAAUGCGCAGAUAUCAGGAGGAACACCGAUGGCGAAGGCAGUGUUCUGGGCCAGUACUGACGCUGAGGUGCGAAAGCGUGGGGAGCAAACAGG
rnacentral:rRNA from 1 species